CGCAGUCCAAACACACGCACAUCGUGGUUGGGUCAGUUGGAAACUCUAAGAUGACCAAUGUGAGUGUAAAUGAUUGUUCGUCUCUGUAUGUUGGCGACCUGUCAGCUGGGAUUGGCUCCAGCUUCCCGCGACCCAUAAAGGAUAAAGCUGAUAGAUGAUGGACGGAGUUCCGGGGGAAGUCUCUGCUGGGGAGACGAACAUCUGGACCGCUCUGCCACCACGACCCGGAGACGGAGUCAAACUUGACUCCUGGAUCCACCACACUGAUAAAGACCAGCAUGUGUUAUCACCUCCGCCAAGGAAGUGAGGUUUUCUUCGCUGUGUGUCGGUUUGUAACAGGAUGGAACAGAUUUACAGUAAACUCACUCAGUGGGAGGAGGAACAUGGAUCAAGAAAGAAUCCAUGAAAUGUUGGUGUGGAUCUGGACAAAGUCUCUUUCUUCAACAUCGUCAGACAGAAGGUUUUUUUUAACAUGUUCCCUGAUUUCACAGAGAAUAAUUAAUGAAGAAAACCAUCGGAGACGUUCACAGACUGACUCUGUCUGUGAGUCAGUCUGUAACGUGACGUUUGGGCCUUGGUGGCGGUUUUUAGUUUGUUGACGUCCUGAAUCAAAGAGCAUCACACGUCAAACUGCGGAUGUGAAAAAGACACUCACCUUGAUGCUGUUGAAGGGACUCCGGCGCCGGGCGGGAGGUCGUGACCCCACCGGGUCAGAGUUCACGUUGAGGUCGACGGUCCCCAUGAUUUAAUUACUACCACACGGAGAGACUGAAGAGGGCGGAGCAACGCCUGUGAAACACACACACAGAGUCAGAGUCGACGGCUUCACGUGUCAACAUUGCAUCAGACUCCAUCUUUGUCUGAACCACGGACUGAAAUUAAAGAUGGAUGACAUGACAGCUGACAAAACUGAAGUCUAAUAACCACCAUCGCCCCCUGGUGUCUGGCUACAGUAUAGUGAACGUCACCAGACUGGAUUAACACGUCAGUGUGUCAGAGCGUCUGUCCUCGCCUUGGUUCCCACAAAGGUCCAUAAACCGUGUGUCUCUGCGGGAUGCACAGCGAGUGUGACCUCAGCUCUGUUUGCAAAACCAGAGCGCGGAGGAUUUGAGCUGCGGCCGCGCAAACACAUCGAGGGAGAGAUUGUCCAGAACAUACAGGCGUCAAAAUGUGCAAGAAACAACUUCAUUCAGUUUCCAGCAAAGUGUUCCUGUUCUCACAGCAGGACGUCCCAGGGAAAGCAUCCCACAGAGAAGAAACAGAAGUCGUGCAGUUUGUCAGACUCACUGUGAGGCAGCUCAGAUCACUUUCUCUGCUUCCUCCUUUCACUUCGCUGCAGAUGGGCUUUUCCUCGCAUGGAACAUCCAGUCAUUUGAGCGCCGACACUCCUGCAGCUCGCCGCCCUGCAGCCGAGGAGGGAGGAACUGGAAUUUGACCCUGGUGCUGUAGGCAGGACGAAGAGUAAAGAAGGAAGGGAGGGAGGAAAGGUUUUGAAUAAACAGUCUGCUGCCUAUUGUCACACCUCCCCUAGAGAAGUUAAUUUAAAGUUUUUGUUUCCGCUCUGACCUGAUAUUUCCUGUAAACCUCUAUGAACAAAGGCAAAAUGCCAACUGCUGUUUUCACUAUCAGUCAAUCUGCAGCACUAGGCCGCUUCAAUAAAAGCUCCUUUGAAUGA